rfam:Chaetura pelagica isolate M959 contig1227, whole genome shotgun sequence.
ACAAAGGCCCUUUUCAGGGCCACCCCCAUUGCUCACCGGGAGAGCU